rnacentral:rRNA from 1 species
AACGAACGCUGGCGGCAUGCCUAACACAUGCAAGUCGAACGAGACCUUCGGGUCUAGUGGCGCACGGGUGCGUAACGCGUGGGAACCUGCCCUUAGGUUCGGAAUAACUCAGAGAAAUUUGAGCUAAUACCGGAUAAUGUCUUCGGACCAAAGAUUUAUCGCCUUUGGAUGGGCCCGCGUAGGAUUAGCUUGUUGGUGGG